AACGAACGCUGGCGGCAUGCCUAACACAUGCAAGUCGAACGAGACCUUCGGGUCUAGUGGCGCACGGGUGCGUAACGCGUGGGAACCUGCCCUUAGGUUCGGAAUAACUCCCCGAAAGGUGUGCUAAUACCGGAUAAUGUCUUCGGACCAAAGAUUUAUCGCCUUUGGAUGGGCCCGCGUUGGAUUAGCUAGUUGGUAGGGUAAAAGCCUACCAAGGCGACGAUCCAUAGCUGGUCUGAGAGGAUGAUCAGCCACACUGGGACUGAGACACGGCCCAGGCUCCUACGGGAAGCAGCAGUGGGGAAUAUUGGACAAUGGGCGAAAGCCUGAUCCAGCAAUGCCGCGUGAGUGAUGAAGGCCUUAGGGUUGUAAAGCUCUUUUACCCGGGAUGAUAAUGACAGUACCGGGAGAAGAAGCUCCGGCUAACUCCGUG
rnacentral:rRNA from 1 species